AUACGGAGGAUCCGAGCGUUAUCCGGAUUUAUUGGGUUUAAAGGGUGCGCAGGCGGGAGAUUAAGUCGGCGGGGAAAUUUUGCAGCUCAACUGUAAAAGGGCCUUCGAUACUGGUUUCCUUGAGUGUGGGUGAAGUAGGCGGAAUUUGUGGGGUAGCGGUGAAAUGCUUAGAUAUCACGAGGAACUCCGAUUGCGCAGGCAGCUUACUAAACCACUACUGACGCUUAGGCACGAAGGCGUGGGGAUCAAACAGGAUUAGAUACCCUGGUAGUCCACGCAGUAAACGAUGAUUACUGGCUGUUUGCGAUACAAUGUAAGCGGCUGAGCGAAAGCGUUAAGUAAUCCACCAGGGGAGUACGUUCGCAAGAAUGAAACUUAAAGGAAUUGACGGGG
rnacentral:rRNA from 1 species